UUGACAUUAGUCAAGUGGUAGGGGAGCGUUCUGUAAGCCGAUGAAGGUGUAUUGAGAAGUAUGCUGGAGGUAUCAGAAGUGCGAAUGCUGACGUGAGUAACGACAAAACGGGUGAAAAACCCGUUCGCCGAAAGACCAAGGGUUCCAGUCCAACGUUAAUCGGGGCUGGGUGAGUCGACCCCUAAGGCGAGGCCGAAAGGCGUAGUCGAUGGGAAAAUGGUUAAUAUUCCAUUACUUCUGUGUAAUGCGAUGAGAGGACGGAGAAGGCUAAAUCAGCCUGGCGUUGGUUGUCCAGGUGAAAGGAUGUAGGCAUGUAUCUUAGGCAAAUCCGGGGUACUCUAUGCUGAGAUCUGAUAGCAAGCUGUACUUGUACAGCGAAGUGGUUGAUGCCAUGCUUCCAGGAAAAGUCUCUAAGCUUCAGUUACACAGGAAUCGUACCCGAAACCGACACAGGUGGUCAGGUCGAGUAGACCAAGGCGCUUGAGAGAACUCUGCUGAAGGAACUAGGCAAAAUGGUACCGUAACUUCGGGAGAAGGUACGCUGUUGUUGGUGAUGGAACUCGCUUCCUGAGCUGACGACAGCCGCAGAAACCAGGCCGCUGCAACUGUUUAUUAAAAACAUAGCACUCUGCAAACACGAAAGUGGACGUAUAGGGUGUGAUGCCUGCCCGGUGCUGGAAGGUUAAUUGAUGGGGUUAGCGUAAGCGAAGCUCUUGAUCGAAGCCCCAGUAAACGGCGGCCGUAACUAUAACGGUCCUAAGGUAGCGAAAUUCCUUGUCGGGUAAGUUCCGACCUGCACGAAUGGCAUAAUGAUGGCGGCGCUGUCUCCAGCAGAGGCUCAGUGAAAUCGAAAUCGCUGUGAAGAUGCAGUGUACCCGCGGCUAGACGGAAAGACCCCGUGAACCUUUACUGCAGCUUGACACUGAACUUUGACCUUACUUGUGUAGGAUAGGUGGGAGGCUUUGAAGCUGGAACGCUAGUUCCAGUGGAGCCGUCCUUGAAAUACCACCCUGGUAAUGUUGAGGUUCUAACUCUGUCCCGUGAUCCGGGACGAGGACCGUGUCUGGUGGGUAGUUUGACUGGGGCGGUCUCCUCCUAAAGAGUAACGGAGGAGUACGAAGGUGCGCUCAGCGUGGUCGGAAAUCACGCGUAGAGUAUAAAGGCAAAAGCGCGCUUAACUGCGAGACCCACAAGUCGAGCAGGUACGAAAGUAGGUCUUAGUGAUCCGGUGGUUCUGUAUGGAAGGGCCAUCGCUCAACGGAUAAAAGGUACUCUGGGGAUAACAGGCUGAUACCGCCCAAGAGUUCAUAUCGACGGCGGUGUUUGGCACCUCGAUGUCGGCUCAUCUCAUCCUGGGGCUGAAGCAGGUCCCAAGGGUAUGGCUGUUCGCCAUUUAAAGAGGUACGCGAGCUGGGUUUAGAACGUCGUGAGACAGUUCGGUCCCUAUCUACCGUGGGCGCUGGAAAUUUGAGAGGAUCUGCUCCUAGUACGAGAGGACCAGAGUGGACGAACCUCUGGUGUACCGGUUGUGACGCCAGUCGCAUCGCCGGGUAGCUAUGUUCGGAAGGGAUAACCGCUGAAAGCAUCUAAGCGGGAAGCCUACCUCAAGAUAAGAUUUCCCUAGGACUUUAUGUCCUCUAAAGAGCCGUUCGAGACUAGGACGUUGAUAGGUUGGAUGUGGAAGCAUAGUGAUAUGUGAAGCUGACCAAUACUAAUUGCUCGUGAGGCUUGACUAU
rnacentral:rRNA from 1 species